rnacentral:tRNA from 1 species
GUGGUUGUAGCUCAGUUUGUUAGAGCACUAGAUUGUGGUUAUAGGGGUCGUGGGGUCGAACCCCAUCAACCACC